rnacentral:rRNA from 1 species
AACGAACGCUGGCGGCAGGCCUAACACAUGCAAGUCGAGCGCCCAGCAAUGGGAGCGGCGGACGGGUGAGUAACGCGUGGGAAUUUUCCUCAAGGUACGGAACAACUCAGGGAAACUUGGGCUAAUACCGUAUGAUGUCUAGCGACCAAAGAUUUAUCGCCUUGGGAUGAGCCCGCGUCAGAUUAGGUAGUUGGUGGGGUAACGGCCUACCAAGCCUGCGAUCUGUAGCUGGUCUGAGAGGACGAUCAGCCACAUUGGGACUGAGACACGGCCCAAACUCCUACGGGAGGCAGCAGUGGGGAAUCUUGCGCAAUGGGCGAAAGCCUGACGCAGCCAUGCCGCGUGAAUGGUGAAGGUCUUAGGAUUGUAAAGUUCUUUCGCUCGUGACGAUGAUGACGGUAACGAGAGAAGAAGCCCCGGCUAACUUCGUGCCAGCCGCCGCUGUAA